CGGACGGGACCGCAGAGUCUGCCCCCGGUAUUCAGCUCGUCCCCUCCGUCGGCCGCGUCCGUCGCCAAACGACACCCUCUGAGCGGGUGCCAUGGCGGGCGUGAGCGCGGCGGGGGACGCGUGCACUUUCCGGGGUGCGGUGCGUCACGACCGGUUCGGCGGAGGUCAGAAGGCCGGCGGGAUGGUGGCCAGUCGUUCGCGUCUGGUGGUAUAGCCCGCCUGCGUCGCAGGCCCUCUGCUGGACCGAGGAGGAUCCGCGUCUGCCUUAGGGCGCGGGGCCCGGGGCCUCCCGUGCUGCCUCCGUGCCGGGACUGCUCUCGCAGUGCCGUGCGCGGUUCGGCGGUCGGGACGGACUCCGCUCCCCCCGUAACGGCGUCUAGGGUCGGUGGCGAUAUUGUCGGCAACCCGUCCGACCCGUCU
rnacentral:rRNA from 3 species